rfam:Melampsora larici-populina 98AG31 unplaced genomic scaffold MELLAscaffold_39, whole genome shotgun sequence.
AUCUGGGGCCAUACCACAAUGAACUUACCGCAUCCCGUCCGAUCUGCGCAGUCAAACAUUGUAGGGCCGAGUCAGUAGUGCGGUGGGGGACCACGUGUGAAUACAGUGUUGUGUUUU